rnacentral:lncRNA from 1 species
UCAUCUUUCUGGGGAGUUUCACUUGAGCAAUCCUUCAUAAGAACAGCUUCAGCUGGUUGUGGUUUCUCAAUUCGAACCUUGACACAUUCGACCGGCUUCUGCAUUCAUCUCUUCGCUUGGACUCAAGCUUCUUCGAUUCUCAAGGUUCUCUCUAUCCUAUGCUUGAUUCUGAAUUUAGCCGUUCCUUGUUUGUUAAUUGUUAUACGUAUUUCUCCGUUUCUUUGCUCCAGAUGUGUAAAAAACUGCCAUUUCCUUUGGUUAUCUUCUUC